GGUGGUUCUCUGGUGACGCACCCCGGAAUCAGGCUUCCUCCUCUCUGGUCCCAAGUGUGUCACCCAAGAACCGCA
rfam:Myotis davidii contig199840, whole genome shotgun sequence.